rnacentral:tRNA from 1 species
GGAUAAGUGGCUGAGUGGUCAAAGGCAUCAGUUUUGAAAACUGGCGCAGUUAAAACUGUCGUGGGUUCGAAUCCUAUCUUAUCC